ACUCCGUCUGCCAGGUCGAGAAGAGGCGGGAAAAGAGAAACGCCGAGAGAGGGAAGGAAGGAGAAGGAGAUGAAGGAGAGAGGGAAGGGGCGGGGAGAUCGGUGGACGAGAGGUACACGCAGUGGAAGUCGCUCGUCCCCGUCCUCUACGACUGGCUCGCCAACCACAACCUCGUCUGGCCCUCCCUCUCCUGCAGGGUUGAAGAAUGCUCAGGUUUAUGAUUAAGUAACCAAACAACAAUCUGACUGAGCUGCUUCGGUAUGCACCAGGCCGAUGAUUAAGCGCAUACCAACAUCAGUACUUUGGACUUAUUUCGCGUACAUGGCCAUCAAUAGUAUUCCCAGAAAUCAAUUAUGGGAAAGAUAGCUAUUUCUCUUCAUCACUCCCAGCCGCUGCUACAGGAUCCUGGAAGGGCUUCAUGCUUCUUAUGUGGAGUCCGUGCCUUUCAAAUAUAUAAUCGCAUUCACCAUUUUCAGUGUGUGCAUCUGUUGCUGUGUUUUGUAGUGACAAAAAUCCCGACUGCCGGAAUUCUAUUCCCUUACCGUUUUUUCUUCUCAUAGGCAUAAGGCAACAUGUAUUACCCAAGUUGUUCAAUGCUCAUAGGCAUAAGGCAACAUGUAUUACCCAAGUUGUUCAAUCCACAUCAUCUGCGAGAAUGAGAUGCGGCAGAGUAUGAAGAAGUCACUUGUACCCCCAUGAUUUUCCUUCGGGCUCUCUCAUCAGGAGAGAGAAACGUUACUUUCCGGGAUCGCAGAAGAUGGGGACGAAAAAUCGGAUGCUGAGAUUUCCGAUGAGCUGACAACCAGCAGAGGAGAGUUGAAGGUUAGGGGUGUGAGCUUCACUGAGGAUGGACGUAAUCAAUUGCAUCCAGAGGACACUAUCUAGAGUGAGAUUUCAUCACAAAAGAGAGAGCUAGCUCAAAUAAAGGUAGAGAGGGAAAGAAUGUUGUUGCGGAUUGACUUUAGACUAUUCGCAUCAGAAACAUUCUGCUAAGGAGGGAGCCGAGGGCAAUGACUGUUCUAAAGGGGAGGGAGAGACAGACCUUACUACGGCACUUGCCCUCCCCUGGCUUGGCAGGCAAAGUUGAUCUUAGUGCUAAUGAAAAUCUUCACUGUCAUCGUUCA